rnacentral:lncRNA from 1 species
CGGAGGCAGACUCUGUUAAACUGACAAAGCCCACGUCUCAGGGUCCCUGUCUCGGGGAGUCGGGACUAUUGGGUCACCCCGGGUAGUCGGGACUUUAGACUGAGCUGUCUUGGUCACUCAGGAGGCAGUUGGCAGAGUAUUCGUGGUCAGGGAGGUGACCCAUGGUCAGCAGGGUCAGGCCACCCAGGGACAAAGGGUCCUCCUGCACCGGGCCUUGGAGAAGGACAGACCGGUGGGGACUUGGGGUCAGCGGGGGAGCCUCCGCGGAUGGUGAGUCACCACCUGCCGGCAAUCAGCCAUGACUGCCUUUGCACUGUCCAUGCUCUCAGCCCACCACCUCGUCCCCCUGCCAUUGCAGUGGCUAACACUGGAGACGAAGACCAAGACACCACCGCCUUUCUCCAGUACCUCUCAAAUCAGCACAGACAAGGACAAAGGCCUCAAUCCACAACUGCUGAUGAUGGACCCUGGCCACAUGGGAUGGUCAGACGCGCCUGCCCAGCUAUCUGCAGGCGAAGAGGCUCAGAAGAGGUUUGGGGGCCUGAAGGACAUCUUGCUCCCAUGUGCAUAUGGGCAGGCUAUUUCUGCUCCAUGAGUCAAUUUUGCCAUAUAAAAUACUUAAUUUCAGCCAUUCCAGGGUGCUAUAGGAUGCACAGCUUCCCAUCAGCCCACCUGAACUCCAGCCAUGCCAUUUUAAUACCAGGAAUGAGGUCACCUGCUUUCCUGCCCCUUAGGAGGCCAGAGC